rnacentral:snoRNA from 1 species
CCAACGGUGAUUAAACAAUUUAUUACCAAUUGUUCCGACUGAAUAGUUGUAUUUACUGUGUGUCGACAACCUCGCAUUAUCGUUAAGUUUCAGCCUUGUAUGAGUUGG